rnacentral:rRNA from 1 species
GUGGGGAAUAUUGCGCAAUGGGCGAAAGCCUGACGCAGCGACGCCGCGUGAGGGAUGAAGGUUUUCGGAUCGUAAACCUCUGUCAGAAGGGAAGAAACUACGUUGUGCUAAUCAGCAGCGUACUGACGGUACCUUCAAAGGAAGCACCGGCUAACUCCGUGCCAGCAGCCGCGGUAAUACGGAGGGUGCAAGCAUUAAUCGGAAUUACUGGGCGUAAAGCGCACGUAGGCUGUAGUGUAAGUCAGGGGUGAAAUCCCACGGCUCAACCGUGGAACUGCCUUUGAUACUGCACAACUUGAAUCCAGGAGAGGGUGGCGGAAUUCCAGGUGUAGGAGUGAAAUCCGUAGAUAUCCGGAGGAACACCGGUGGCGAAGGCGGCCACCUGGACAGGUACUGACGCUGAGGCGCGAAAGCGUGGGGAGCAAACAGGAUUAGAAACCCGUGUAGUCC